rnacentral:rRNA from 1 species
GAUGAACGCUGGCGGCGUGCCUAAUACAUGCGAGUCGAGCGAACAGACGAGGAGCUUGCUCCUCUGAUGUUAGCGGCGGACGGGUGAGUAACACGUGGAUAACCUACCUAUAAGACUGGGAUAACUUCGGGAAACCGGAGCUAAUACCGGAUAACAUGUUGAACCGCAUGGUUCAACAGUGAAAGACGGUCUUGCUGUCACUUAUAGAUGGAUCCGCGCCGCAUUAGCUAGUUGGUAAGGUAACGGCUUACCAAGGCAACGAUGCGUAGCCGACCUGAGAGGGUGAUCGGCCACACUGGGACUGAGACACGGUCCAGACUCCUACGGGAGGCAGCAGUAGGGAAUCUUCCGCAAUGGGCGAAAGCCUGACGGAGCAACGCCGCGUGAGUGAAGAAGGUCUUCGGAUCGUAAAACUCUGUUAUUAGGGAAGAACAAAUGUGUAAGUAACUAUGCACGUCUUGACGGUACCUAAUCAGAAAGCCACGGCUAACUACGUG